AGGACGGGCUGAGGGAUCGCCGCCGGGAGUCCGCAGGGCUUGCCGGACGGAGGAAAGUCCGAGCUCCGCAAGGCAGGGUGCCGGGUAACGCCCGGGCGCCGCGAGGCGACGGAAAGUGCCGCAGAGAGCAGACCGCCGAUGGUCUCCAGGGACACAGGCAAGGGUGAAAGGGUGCGGUAAGAGCGCACCGGGCCGCUGGCAACAGGGGUCGCACGGCAAACCCCACCCGGAGCAAGGCCAAAUAGGGGACAAGGGGUCGCCUGCCCCGUGCGAGUCCCGGGUAGGCCGCUAGAGGUUCGGAGCGAUCCGAAUCCCAGACAAAUGAUUCCGGCCCGCCGCCCAGGCGGGAUACAGAACUCGGCUUAUGACGCCCGUCCUCCUG
rnacentral:RNase_P_RNA from 1 species